rnacentral:rRNA from 1 species
GAUGAACGCUGGCGGCGUGCCUAAUACAUGCAAGUCGAGCGAACAGAUAAGGAGCUUGCUCCUUUGACGUUAGCGGCGGACGGGUGAGUAACACGUGGGUAACCUACCUAUAAGACUGGGAUAACUUCGGGAAACCGGAGCUAAUACCGGAUAAUAUUUCGAACCGCAUGGUUCGAUAGUGAAAGAUGGUUUUGCUAUCACUUAUAGAUGGACCCGCGCCGUAUUAGCUAGUUGGUAAGGUAACGGCUUACCAAGGCGACGAUACGUAGCCGAUCUGAGAGGGUGAUCGGCCACACUGGAACUGAGACACGGUCCAGACUCCUACGGGAGGCAGCAGUAGGGAAUCUUCCGCAAUGGGCGAAAGCCUGACGGAGCAACGCCGCGUGAGUGAUGAAGGUCUUCGGAUCGUAAAACUCUGUUAUUAGGGAAGAACAUACGUGUAAGUAACUGUGCACGUCUUGACGGUACCUAAUCAGAAAGCCACGGCUAACUACGUG